rnacentral:rRNA from 1 species
GACGAACGCUGGCGGCGUGCUUAACACAUGCAAGUCGAACGGAAAGGCCCUGCUUUUGUGGGGUGCUCGAGUGGCGAACGGGUGAGUAACACGUGAGUAACCUGCCCUUGACUUUGGGAUAACUUCAGGAAACUGGGGCUAAUACCGGAUAGGAGCUCCUGCUGCACGGUGGGGGUUGGAAAGUUUCGGCGGUUGGGGAUGGACUCGCGGCUUAUCAGCUUGUUGGUGGGGUAGUGGCUUACCAAGGGUUUGACGGGUAGCCGGCCUGAGAGGGGGACCGGCCACAUGAGGACUGAGAUAGGGACCAGAAGCCUACGGGAGGCAGCAGGGGGGAAUAUUGCACAAUGGGCGGGAGCCUGAUGCGACAACGCCGCGUGCGGGAUGACGGCCUUCGGGUUGUAAACCGCUUUCGAAUGUGACGAAGCGUGAGUGACGGUAAUGGGUAAAGAAGCACCGGCUAACUACGUG